GGCACAAGCGGAGGAGCAUGUGGUUAAUUCGAUGAUACGCGAGGAACCUUACCUGGGCUCGAACGUAAGAUGACUGUAGGUGAAAGCUUACAUCUCUUCGGAGCAUUUUACGAGGUGCUGCAUGGUUGUCGUCAGCUCGUGCCGUGAGGUGUCGGGUUAAGUCCCAUAACGAGCGCAACCCCUACCUUUAGUUGCCAUCAGGUAAUGCUGGGGACUCUAAAGGAACUGCCUACGCAAGUAGUGAGGAAGGCGGGGAUGACGUCAAAUCAGCACGGCCCUUACGUCCAGGGCUACACACGUGCUACAAUGGCCGAUACAGAGGGCAGCUACCUGGUGACAGGAUGCAAAUCUCCAAAGUCGGUCUCAGUUCGGAUCGGAGUCUGCAACCCGACUCCGUGAAGUUGGAUUCGCUAGUAAUCGCGCAUCAGCCAUGGCGCGGUGAAUACGUUCCCGGGCCUU
rnacentral:rRNA from 1 species